rnacentral:rRNA from 1 species
CCUACGGGGUGCAGCAGUGAGGAAUAUUGGUCAAUGGGCGCGAGCCUGAACCAGCCAAGUAGCGUGAAGGAUGACUGCCCUACGGGUUGUAAACUUCUUUUAUAAAGGAGUAAAGUGAGGCACGUGUGCCUUUUUGUAUGUCCUUUAUGAAUAAGGCUCGGCUAACUCCGUGCCAGCAGCCGCGGUAAUACGGAGGAUCCGCGCGUUAUCCGGAUUUAUUGGGUUUAACGGGAGCGUAGAUGGGUUGUUAAGUCAGUUGUGAAAGGUUGCGGCGUAACCGUAAAAUUGCAAUGGAUACUGGCAGGCUUGAGUACAGUUGAGGUAGGUGGAAUGCGUGGUGUAGCGGUGAAAUGCUUAGAUAUCACGAAGAACGCCGAUGGCGAAGGCAGCUUACUAAACUGUCACUGACAUUGAUGCUCGAAAGUGUGGGUAUCAAACAGGAUUAGAUACCCGAGUAGUC